GCACACACACACACACUGUGACAAACUAAUAUGUCUACAGAUAUUUCCAGAUGCCUCCAGAAAGCUGAACCCACCCUGACUGGAUACCUCUGGCUGAAGAUAAUGAGCCAAAAAGAAACCUCUCAGGAGAUGUUAACUCCAGGAGUGAUGCAAAACACUGUUCAAGAGGCUUCUAGGAAGGAACUGCAGAGGAGGGAAAGAAAGGUGAAGAUAAAGCAGUGUCCUUCAUUGCGUGAGAGGAGACUUGGCACUUUUGUCACCUGGUAUGAACUUACAUUGGGACUUCUUUCCUGUGCAAUUAUUAAGGAAACUGCCUAACAUCGCUGCCAUUGCCUCUUUUCAUUUUGGGGUCUGCAAGCACUUGCCACUUAAACUCAGAUCAUGUUUUUGUGAGAGGCCACAGAGCGACUUUCUUUAAGGCUAUCAAAAGCCUUCCUCAUUAUCCUUUAUGGGCUGUGCAGAAAACAUCUCAACUAUUAGACAUUUAACUGGAGUGCAGUAGAAUGGGUUUGCUGGCCCCCUCCAGUUUGUGGGGUAAAAACUCUGUUCAUAAUCAGUUUCUAGUUUUUCAAAUGACCCUCAAGAGGUUCCUUCCGGUCCACUUCAGUUCUCUUUUUAGUGUCCCAUUGAUUUUCCAGACCUUAGGAACAUGUCUUUAAUCGCCUGCUUUCCAAUUGACUCUCUCCACUGAAUGCUAAAGGAGCACAUCGUUACUCUGUACAUUGAGACAGGAAUAUGGUGAAGACUAACACACGAUUUGUAACAGUACAGUUUACAAUAACAGUUCCUGCAGAGAGAAAGUGUCUCUCUCAGAAAGAGGAGGGCAAUUUCUGCACCCAGUUUAUUUUUGUAACUACAAGCAACACCUUUGAUUCUUGUCAAUAAAGAGGGAGACAAAAUAGAGAAACAAUCAUAAUACAUAAAUGAUAUUAUUUGUCCUCUGAGUACAUACUGAUAUAAUUCACUCAAAGAGCUCAAAUGAAUUGUGAAUGGCAGGAAGGUGCAAGAGGUAACUUCAGUGCAGAUAAUCCACACUGCUAUUUCAUGAAUGAACUCAGAGAAGCCACACAAAGUAUGUGAUAAAAAUGCAAAGGAUAUAAUUUUCUUUUGAUUUCUCCUCUGUUCUGUCUUAUUUUAAAUGAUGUUACAACACUGGGA
rnacentral:lncRNA from 1 species